ACACACAAAGCUGAGGACUUUGAGAAAGAAGACCACGGUUGGCAUCCUGAGUCCUGCUUGUGGCAAUGUUUAGGCAACAAAAGCACUUUGGUUGAAGACAUUGCAUUGUCAAAAGCAGAAGAAACUCUACUUUGAAUGCAAAUUUUCCCUUCAGGACAAGAUUUUUGACUGAUGGAAAAAAAUAUUUGAACAACUUGAUCCAACUCCCCUCAUCCAAUGCAGUUAAACCCAACACUGAAGUAUUUAUUAUAGCUAUAAUAU